rnacentral:rRNA from 1 species
GAUGAACGCUGGCGGCGUGCUUAACACAUGCAAGUCGAACGGAAAGGCCAGUGCUUGCACUGGUACUCGAGUGGCGAACGGGUGAGUAACACGUGGGUGAUCUGCCCUGCACUUCGGGAUAAGCCUGGGAAACUGGGUCUAAUACCGGAUAGGACAAUGGUUUGGAUGCCGUUGUGGAAAGUUUUUUCGGCGUGGGAUGAGCUCGCGGCCUAUCAGCUUGUUGGUGGGGUAAUGGCCUACCAAGGCGUCGACGGGUAGCCGGCCUGAGAGGGUGUACGGCCACAUUGGGACUGAGAUACGGCCCAGACUCCUACGGGAGGCAGCAGUGGGGAAUAUUGCACAAUGGGCGCAAGCCUGAUGCAGCGACGCCGCGUGGGGGAUGACGGCCUUCGGGUUGUAAACUCCUUUCGCUAGGGACGAAGCGUAUUUGUGACGGUACCUGGAGAAGAAGCACCGGCUAACUACGUG